ensembl:ncRNA asRNA:CR43614 antisense RNA:CR43614
CUUUUCUUGGUCAGCUCUCGUCGAGUUCGGACGCAUGGUGCUAGGUGCUAUACAUGGACAAAAAGGAUAAAUGUGACCACAAAUUGAAAUUGACCCUAGACACGCGGUGCAAGAAUUGCGAAGACGAUGGCAACCGAAAUCAAAAUCUGAUUCUCAAUCGGAAUCAGAAUCAGAAGUCCACGCCGGUCUGGGAUGCCAUGGAGAUGGGACAUUUGUAUGCAAAUUCAGUGAUUGCUCUCCGCAGAAACCACAGGCAAAGGCAAGACGGUAGGAGCGACCACACAAUAAAUGGGCAUAAAUUACACGACCCGAAGGAGGAGCCACCAGACAGACGGUAAAGAAGGGAAAGCUUUUGGGCGUGAGAUCGGUGUCGGUGAGCUCUGAAAGCAGGAUGCGGGAGUAGGGUCCUAGGAUGCAGAUGGCCGUGUACAUGGAGGUCACAUCUGCCACAUUAACCUUGGCCCUUAGAUGAUUGGGCAUGUGUUUCCGAAUCCAGCACAUGGAGCGCGUUUGCUGAAUGGUGGGUGCAAUCAUCAUGUAGCUGAAAUAGCGAAUGAUGAGCGUCUCACUGGCCAUGUUGAGCUGGAUGGGCAAGCUACUUACUGCCGCUCGGAGAGGCGUGCCAAGGAGCAGUCGUUCUCAUAGCCCCCAUUGGGAUUCUGCAUGCCUGUGUGGAUGAUGGAGCCCACGGCCACGUCCACGUCGUUGGAGCAGAGGUACUGCAAUAGGUCCACCACCUCGUUUCCCUUCGACCAGAAGUCGUAUUUGGUAAAGGAGCUGUAGUCUGCUAUGCCAAUGCGUUCCCUACAAGCCCGGUAUUCUGAGGCCACAUGAUCGAACCACGGCGGCUUGCCAAAGGUGCGUGUUUGGGCAAUACGAAAGCGCGGCAACCCGAACUCAUCUGAAAUAUAGAAUCAAGCCGGAGAAGG